rnacentral:misc_RNA from 1 species
AGAUUUUUGCCUGAAGGAUUUUGGUCUCAUCUCUGUACCCGAAAUAUCAUAUAGGCGUUUAACAGGAAAAGAUGAGUUCAUUGUUCUGGCAACUGAUGGGAUAUGGGAUGUACUUACAAAUGAUGAAGUUGUAAAGAUUGUUGCAUCUGCUUCAUCCCGUUCGUCUGCAGCUCGAUCGCUAGUUGAAUCAGCUGUUCGAGCCUGGAGGACAAAAUACCCUACUUCUAAAGUUGAUGAUUGUGCAGUUGUUUGCCUUUUUCUUGAUUCAAACUCAAACAACUUGUCCACUGCUUCCAAUACAGAAGACAGUGACAAGACUGUCUCAAUGAAAGCAAAUGAAGUUGGUGCCAAGACAGGUGAUGCCUCAGGUCCAACUGCAUUUACUCGUUCUGGAACUGUUCGAGAAGUUGAAGUUUCAGAAGAAGAGAUAGAGGAAGCAUCAGAACAUGAGGAACUGCUCUCAGAGGUGGGGGCGGAAUGGUCUGCACUGGAAGGGGUUUCCCGGCUGAACACAUUAUUGACACUGCCAAGGUUUGUGCCUGACAAGGACGAGAAUUAAACUGUCUGGAAUCGAACUCAAAGAAGCAACAGAGGGUGAGAUUUCCAAGUUUGGAUUUAUUUCUUUUCGGUUAUUUUUCAAUUUUUAUUUAGUUCCAUCCAUUUUAAGGUCUCACAUAUCUAUCUACUGGGAGGAAAAAAAAAUAGGGGCAUUUUAUAUUUGUUGUAGACUGGAGAGGUGGCCCCAGCUAUAUUAGAGUGUCUGGGAAUCAUCCAUUCUCUUCCUAGUGUUGGUAAAAGUGGAAUUUUUGUAAAAACCAACUCUCCUGUCUUGGUUGCUAGCUUUCUUUUCUUUCGCAUAUAUACCAAGAUUGUGUGUACCUUAUCAAAGAGAUAUCGAGAUUGUGUGUUUUUCCAUCAUUGUUAUG